UGGGGAAUAUUGGACAAUGGGCGAAAGCCUGAUCCAGCCAUGCCGCGUGUGUGAAGAAGGUCUUCGGAUUGUAAAGCACUUUAAGUUGGGAGGAAGGGCAGUAAGCGAAUACCUUGCUGUUUUGACGUUACCGACAGAAUAAGCACCGGCUAACUCUGUGCCAGCAGCCGCGGUAAUACAGAGGGUGCAAGCGUUAAUCGGAAUUACUGGGCGUAAAGCGCGCGUAGGUGGUUCGUUAAGUUGGAUGUGAAAUCCCCGGGCUCAACCUGGGAACUGCAUCCAAAACUGGCGAGCUAGAGUAGGGCAGAGGGUGGUGGAAUUUCCUGUGUAGCGGUGAAAUGCGUAGAUAUAGGAAGGAACACCAGUGGCGAAGGCGACCACCUGGGCUCAUACUGACACUGAGGUGCGAAAGCGUGGGGAGCAAACAGG
rnacentral:rRNA from 2 species